rnacentral:rRNA from 1 species
UACGGAGGAUGCAAGCGUUAUCCGGAAUGAUUGGGCGUAAAGCGUCCGCAGGUGGCUAUGUAAGUCUGCUGUUAAAGAGUGAGGCUCAACCUCAUAAGAGCGGUGGAAACUACAUGGCUAGAGUGCGUUCGGGGCAGAGGGAAUUCCUGGUGUAGCGGUGAAAUGCGUAGAUAUCAGGAAGAACACCGGUGGCGAAAGCGCUCUGCUAGGCCGCAACUGACACUGAGGGACGAAAGCUAGGGGAGCGAAUGGG